GGAUUAGUACGCUGGUCAUGCCUUUGGUAUGUACUGGUGUUACUGAUUUCUACCUUCUGACGAACCGUCAUGUCAUUAGUUUGGUGUGGCGGGGAAUCAGGACUGUUACUUUGAAAAAAUUAGAGUGUUUAAAGCAGGCUAUCGCUUGAAUAGAUUAGCAUGGAAUAAUAGAAUAGGACGCGUGGUUCUAUUUUGUUGGUUUCUAGGAUCACCGUA
rnacentral:rRNA from 1 species